rnacentral:rRNA from 1 species
AUUGAACGCUGGCGGCAUGCCUUACACAUGCAAGUCGAACGGUAACGCGGGGGCAACCCUGGCGACGAGUGGCGAACGGGUGAGUAAUACAUCGGAACAUAUCCAGUAGCGGGCGAUAACCUAUCGAAAGAUGGACUAAUACCGCAUACGAUCUACGGAUGAAAGCAGGGGACCGCAAGGCCUUGCACUAUUGGAGUGGCCGAUGUCGGAUUAGCUAGUUGGUGGGGUAAAAGCCUACCAAGGCGACGAUCCGUAGCUGGUCUGAGAGGACGAUCAGCCACACUGGAACUGAGACACGGUCCAGACUCCUACGGGAGGCAGCAGUGGGGAAUUUUGGACAAUGGGCGCAAGCCUGAUCCAGCCAUGCCGCGUGAGUGAAGAAGGCCUUCGGGUUGUAAAGCUCUUUCGGUGAAGACGAAACGGUUAGCGCUAAUAACGCUGACUAAUGACGGUACUCACAGAAGAAGCACCGGCUAACUACGUGCCAGCCGCCGCCGUAA